CACAAGCGGUGGAGCAUGUGGUUUAAUUCGAUGCAACGCGAAGAACCUUACCUACUCUUGACAUCCAGAGAACUUUCCAGAGAUGGAUUGGUGCCUUCGGGAACUCUGAGACAGGUGCUGCAUGGCUGUCGUCAGCUCGUGUUGUGAAAUGUUGGGUUAAGUCCCGCAACGAGCGCAACCCUUAUCCUUUGUUGCCAGCGGUUCGGCCGGGAACUCAAAGGAGACUGCCAGUGAUAAACUGGAGGAAGGUGGGGAUGACGUCAAGUCAUCAUGGCCCUUACGAGUAGGGCUACACACGUGCUACAAUGGCGCAUACAAAGAGAAGCGACCUCGCGAGAGCAAGCGGACCUCAUAAAGUGCGUCGUAGUCCGGAUUGGAGUCUGCAACUCGACUCCAUGAAGUCGGAAUCGCUAGUAAUCGUAGAUCAGAAUGCUACGGUGAAUACGUUCCCGGGCCUUGUACACACCGCCCGUCACACCAUGGGAGUGGGUUGCAAAAGAAGUAGGUAGCUUAACCUUCGGGAGGGCGC
rnacentral:rRNA from 1 species